AGUGGGAUAGCUGGGUCAAAUGGUGGUUCCAUUCCCAGUUUUCCAAGGAUUCUCCAUACUUCUUUCCAGAUUGGCUGCACCAUUUUGCAGUCCCGCCUGCAAU
rnacentral:pre_miRNA from 1 species